rnacentral:rRNA from 1 species
UGGGGAAUAUUGGACAAUGGGCGAAAGCCUGAUCCAGCCAUGCCGCGUGUGUGAAGAAGGUCUUCGGAUUGUAAAGCACUUUAAGUUGGGAGGAAGGGCAUUAACCUAAUACGUUAGUGUUUUGACGUUACCGACAGAAUAAGCACCGGCUAACUCUGUGCCAGCAGCCGCGGUAAUACAGAGGGUGCAAGCGUUAAUCGGACUUACUGGGCGUAAAGCGCGCGUAGGUGGUUUGUUAAGUUGGAUGUGAAAUCCGCGGGCUCAACCUGGGAACUGCAUUCAAAACUGACUGACUAGAGUAUGGUAGAGGGUGGUGGAAUUUCCUGUGUAGCGGUGAAAUGCGUAGAUAUAGGAAGGAACACCAGUGGCGAAGGCGACCACCUGGACUAAUACUGACACUGAGGUGCGAAAGCGUGGGGAGCAAACA